rnacentral:rRNA from 1 species
GAUGAACGCUGGCGGCGUGCCUAAUACAUGCAAGUCGAGCGAACGGACGAGAAUCUUGCUUCUCUGAUGUUAGCGGCGGACGGGUGAGUAACACGUGGAUACCCUACCUAUAAGACUGGGAUAACUUCGGGAAACCGGAGCUAAUACCGUAUAAUAUCUUGAACCGCAUGGUUCAUAAGUGAAAGACGGUCUUGCUGUCACUUAUAGAUGGAUCCGCGCUGCAUUAGCUAGUUGGUAAGGUAACGGCUUUCCAAGGCAACGAUGCAUAGCCGACGUGAGAGGGGGAUAGGCCACACUGGAACUGAACCACGGUCCAGACUACUAAGGGAGGCAGCAGUAGGGAAUCGUACGCAGUGGGCGAAAGCAUGACGGAGCAACGCGGCGUGAGUGAUGGAGGUCUUCGGAUCGUAAAACUCUGUUAUUAGGGAAGAACAUAUGUGUAAGGAAAUGUGCACAUCUUGACGGUACCUAAUCAGAAAGCAACGGCUAACUACGUG